rnacentral:rRNA from 1 species
GACGUAGGGCGCGAGCGUUGUCCGGAUUUAUUGGGCGUAAAGAGCUCGUAGGCGGCUUGUCGCGUCGUCCGUGAAAACCUGCGGCUCAACUGCAGGCUUGCGGUCGAUACGGGCAGGCUGGAGUUCGGUAGGGGAGACUGGAAUUCCUGGUGUAGCGGUGAAAUGCGCAGAUAUCAGGAAGAACACCCGUGGCUAAGGCGGCUCUCUAGUACGGUACUGACGCUGAGACGCGAAAGCGUGGGGAGCGAACAGG